GUCAGUCGAUCGUUUCGCCGAUACGUCGCGUGUCGGUUCGUUCGCGCUUCCUUCCUGCGUGUUAUUUAUUCGUUUACCGUCGAUUUUUCUACGCGUCUUUUUCUCGCGUAUAGUAACGACUAACUAUAAUUUAUUUCUGACUGUUCGAUAGUAUUUUCGGUUUUUUUUUUUCAAUCGAUUAGAUUUAUUAUUAUUUUUUAAUUUGUCCGUUUAGAUCGUCAAAUAAAUUGUCACAGAAAUUAAUACUAAUUAAUAUACGUCGUUCGGAUCGCGCGAUCUUACCGAACAAUUACAACGAGUGUUUUUUUUUUCGAUCACCCAUACGGAGUAUAAUACACUUACGCUGCGUAUGCGAUUCGUUUAGAAAACAGCGAUAGUAGAUAUUAAUAUUAAUAUUAUAUUUAAAUAACAAUGAGGACUCGUAUCAUGUUCGCGAUAUUGUUGCUGUGUUUUGGUAGCGCAUUAUCCCAGUCCACAGUUUCUUCAGAUAAGCCGGUUUCGACCACGACCAGACGGCCAAUACCUCAUGUCGAAUGUACACUACGACAGCAUACUUGCGGCAAUGGUAAAUGCGUGCCACUAGCGUGGAUGUGCGACGGCGAUGACGAUUGUGGCGAUAACACUGACGAGCUACCCGAUUUGUGUAAAACAGGAAUGGCAAAUGUCACGUGUUCAGAAAAUGAAUUUCAAUGUAGAAACGGACACUGUAUAGCGCUCCACUGGCAAUGUGAUAACGAAGCAGAUUGCAAAGACGGCAGCGACGAAGACCCAAAAAUAUGCCAAAAACGAGUAUGCAACACGGAUGAAUUCACUUGCCGUAAGGCCAAAGGCGAGUGCAUUCCGCUGACAUGGAUGUGUGACGGCAAUCCCGACUGUUCGGAUGGCUCAGACGAGAAGGAGUGCAACGAAACAUGUAGAGACGACGAGUUUACGUGUGGCAACGGAAAGUGUAUUCAAAAGAUUUGGGUGUGCGACAGAGACGACGAUUGUCAAGACGGCACAGAUGAGCUCAACUGUCCCAACAUCACCUGUUCCGAGUCCGAAUUCGCGUGCGUCAAAGACAACACUUGCAUCACGUUGAACUGGCGUUGCGAUGGCGACUUCGAUUGUACCGACCAAACUGACGAAAUCGGUUGUGCGGAAACUACCAGAGUGUCGCAGUGCCGUUCUUCCGAGUUCGAGUGCGACGACCACAGCCACUGCGUCAUACAGUCGUGGGUGUGCGACGGCAGCGUGGACUGCGCCGACGGAUCGGACGAAGCGCCGCACCGAUGCCACAACACCACUUGUCGGUCCGACCAGUUCCGUUGCCGGGACAACACGUGCAUUCCCGGAUUCCUCCACUGUUCCGGUACGCCCGACUGCGCCGACGGUAGCGACGAAGAAAAUUGCAAAGAACCAGUGCACAAAUGCGACCCGUUCACGGAGUUCGAUUGCGGCAACGACGAGACGGGCGGCAUAUGCAUACCCUUGGAGAAAGUGUGCGAUAAGAACAUGGACUGUCCCGGGUUCGAGGACGAGGAACAGGAAGCGUGCAACGUGAACGAAUGUUUGAUCAACAACGGAGGCUGUUCGCAGCUCUGUAUCGAUUUACCACACACGUUCCGCUGCGCCUGCAAGCCCGGCUACAAGCUCAUCAACAACAACACAUGUGACGACGUGAACGAAUGCGAGAUCGAAGGCAGUUGUUCACAAAUAUGCAUCAACGAAAAGGGUACGUACAAAUGCGAAUGCGAGCCGGGAUACCUGCGGGACCCCCAAGAUCACACUAGAUGCAAGGCGAUGGAAGGACACGCGUCCCUCUUAUUCUCCAUGCAACACAAUAUACGGAAAAUAUCGUUAGAUCAUCACGAGAUGUCCGCCAUAAUCAACAGCACGAAAUCUGCCACCGCCAUCGAUUUUGUAUUCCGCACCGGGAUGAUAUUCUGGGGAGACGUAUCCGAAAAGAAAAUUUACAAAGCGCCGAUCGACGAAGGUCGAGAACGAUCGAUCGUUGUGGAAAGCGGCUUGUCAUCAGCCGACGGUUUAGCCGUGGACUGGAUUUACGGGCACAUCUACUGGACGAACGCGGACAGGGAUUCGAUCGAAUUGGCCAACUUCGAGGGCAACAUGCAAAAGACGCUUUUCAGGUCGGAACUGAAGGAGCCCAGGUCUAUAGCCGUAGAUCCACUCAACGGGUGGCUGUACUGGAGCGAUUGGGGCAGCAACGCAAAAAUUGAACGGGCCGGAAUGGACGGCACGCACCGCGAGGUGAUCGCCUCGUUUGACGUGAAAUGGCCAAACGGCAUUACCCUGGACCUGGUGUCCGGCCGGCUGUACUGGGUGGACGCCAAGCUGCACACCAUAUCGUCGUGCAACUUUGACGGCAGCCAAAGGCGUUUGGUCUUGUUCAGCACCACUUGGCUACCGCACCCGUUCAGCAUAUCCACGUUCGAGGACUCGCUGUAUUGGUCCGACUGGAACCAAAAGGCGAUAAUCAAGGCUAACAAGUUUAACGGUUCCAACAUCACCACGGUCACCGCCCUGCACAUGACUCAGAACCCAAUGGUGGUGCACGUCUAUCACCCGUACAGGCAACCGGACGGCGUUAACCACUGCGCCGCCGUCAACGGCCACUGUUCUCAUCUGUGCCUGCCGGCACCGCAAAUCAACAGCAAGUCGCCGAAAAUCUCGUGCUCUUGUCCCAACGGUCUGAUGCUGAUGUCCGACGGUCUGAUGUGCGCCGAAGAAGUUAAGAACAAAACGGUUUUAUCCAAACACACGAAACACAGACAUUAUAAAAAAGUCAAUAUUACGCUGUUAAAUACGAACAGAACGAUGACGGAAGUAAACGUCAACGACCACCCCGAACCAGAGGACAGCGGACUCAUAGCCGCCAUAAUAAUAUUCUCCGGCUCGCUAUUGAUCACUCUCGCAGCCCUGGGCGCUUUCCUGUUGUACCGGCACUACUUGCAUCGCAACGUGACCAGCAUGAACUUCGACAACCCGAUCUACAGGAAAACAACCGAAGACCAGUUCACGCUGGAGAAGAGUCAGUAUCAACCGGCGAGGGUAUACCCCACAUCUGUCGGCGAGGAGGUAAACUUCAACGUUAUCAUUUAAAGACCCUGAAACACCCUCUCCCCACUCAUCACCAUGGCCCAUCCGCCCCUCCCCCCGACAACCACAAGUACCCAUAUUUAUAUGCAUAUUAUCGUCGAUGCAACACCGUUAAGCUAUAUUCGAUCUUUUCUGCUCUUAAUUUUUUUGCAUUUUUACACGCUGCGUGUUAGUUCUUUAACGACAACUCGGCCGAAGAGCCGUUGACUCGUCCUGGCACGAACGAGUACGUCUAAAGUAUAGACCGUUUUAGUUUCUCUGCACACAACACUAGUCAAUG
rnacentral:misc_RNA from 1 species